GGCUCGGUAACUUAGUUGGAAAAGGACUUGUCCAGCGAAUAAGGGUCAUGAGUUCAAAUCUCACCUGAGCUA
rfam:Aedes albopictus isolate Foshan contig75219, whole genome shotgun sequence.